GAUGAACGCUGGCGGCGUGCCUAAUACAUGCAAGUCGAGCGAACGGACGAGAAGCUUGCUUUUCUGAUGUUAGCGGCGGACGGGUGAGUAACACGUGGAUAACCUACCUAUAAGACUGGGAUAACUUCGGGAAACCGGAGCUAAUACCGGAUAAUAUUUUGAACCGCAUGGUUCAAAAGUGAAAGACGGUCUUGCUGUCACUUAUAGAUGGAUCCGCGCUGCAUUAGCUAGUUGGUAAGGUAACGGCUUACCAAGGCAACGAUGCAUAGCCGACCUGAGAGGGUGAUCGGCCACACUGGAACUGAGACACGGUCCAGACUCCUACGGGAGGCAGCAGUAGGGAAUCUUCCGCAAUGGGCGAAAGCCUGACGGAGCAACGCCGCGUGAGUGAUGAAGGUCUUCGGAUCGUAAAACUCUAUAUUAGGGAAGAACAUAUGUGUAAGUAACUGUGCACAUCUUGACGGUACCUAAUCAGAAAGCCACGGCUAACUACGUG
rnacentral:rRNA from 1 species